ensembl:lncRNA
GCCGAGAGCCCCGUCUCACACGGAAACCUUUCCGCCUCACGCCACUGCCCCACACCAGGAGCUGGGAAUGUGGUGCAAAGGCCUCUACCACCACAGUAAGAUUAAUUUAUAUCAGCCUGGCACUGCCAGAGGUGCCAGAUAAUGGAACUUGUUGGCUCCUCUCCAAACACCACUCUUAUGUAAAGUGCAGUGCAGAGGUUACAGAAUCCUGCCCAGCUCAUUCAGGAGGUGAGUUUGAUCCCUUUGUUGGAUAAGUCCAGAUAAUCUUGAUUUCUCAGGAGCAGGGCCCUUGCUGUGCUGUCCCAAAUUUCCAACAAGAGGGUGCAGUGCUUCCAUCUUUCUGUCCAGAGCUGCUCACUCCUCAUCUGUUGUGAAAUGAUUUCUAUGCACUGUUUGUAGAGAGCUUUGAUAUUCUCUGUAGAUGAAAGGUGUUACAUAAAUGCAAAUUUUGUUCCUUUAAUUUCAAUUUCAUUUAAUAAAUAAAUAAAUUGUUCAGGUUUUAGUGGGAAGGGCACUCUGAGACUGAGUGCUGCAUCUAUAUGCUGGAUAUACCUGUGGAAGGAGGUUAAGGCCACUGAUUGUCUUUCAGAGCCCAACAGAAUUAAUUUUCACUUGUACAAAAACAGAUUUUGCAGGCGGAAUAAUAAUGAAAUAAGUGCAGAAUCCACUGGCUCUUGUUAAAUUGGGUUUCUCAUCCCUGCGAGUAAGGAAACAGAAAGGAUGCAUUGCUCAAUUAGCAUUUUAAAUUAAUUUUUCAAGGCUAUUUACUGAGGAAACUGAAAUUUUAAUUAAAGUAGCAAGUAAAGUAAUGCACUCAAAAGGUUUAUGCAAUUCUUUUUUUCUGUCAUGCUCAAAGAAAAAUGAUCCACUGCAUAUAGAAAUGUUUUAAAAUAAGAACAAUUGCAUUUAAGUGAAGAACAAGAAUUUUCUGCAAAAUAAUGUGGUUCUUUCAAUAAGUAAAUGGCACUGGGCGAUGAGGGUGGUAGAUAUUUAAUGCAAAUAUGUCCUAAAAUGCUAAAUAUAGCAGAUUUAUUUGAAAAAGAUGUAGCUUAAUAAUAGAAGCUAUUCCUGUGACUGUAUUCCAUAUGGUAGUUAAAUGGCAUCUUCAUGGAGCUGCAGAUAAAAUGGGGUUUUUUGGAUUGAUAAAUGGGGCCAUGUCAAAGAGAAUAAGUGUGAAAAAGAAGAGCACCUUCUUUACACAAAACUAAUUGGGUUUUUUAGAAACCACUUUACUACUAUUAGAAACUUGCUCUCAGUAAUUGGCAGUGCUGCUUCUGAGCUCUUCAGACUGCUUAAAAUAAGGUGAUCUUUUUGAUAACAGAAAACAAGCUACAGGUUUCCAAUUUACAGUGAAAUCUUGCAUGAAUGGGAAGAGAACCUGGAAUACUUAAUAUUGUCGAAAUAAUCGCCUUAGUUCUUGAUAGUGGGAAUAUAUAUGCUAACAAAUGAUUAAUUGAAUUGUGAGCUUUUAUUUUAAUUACAGGCUAUUAGUACCAGAAAGGAAUUAAUACUGUAGAAAUUAAUACUUAUAACUGGAUAUAUAUAAAUGAAUAAUGCAGUGAUUGUACUUAAAUAUCUUGCUCUGAGUGUUCACUUUACAUUUAUAACUUGACUGUAGUUGAUCAGAAUUCAGGGUUCUCAGUGCAGCCCAUGCCUCAGUGAUUUGCAUUUGGUUUCUAAAAACCUCUCUUGGUUUGCUCACUUAAAAGUCUUUGAGCUGAUCCAAAUAUUCUCAGUUUUGCAACCAGUAUAAAGAGAUUUAUGGUUAAGGUGGGUGUUUAAAAAGGACAGGGGUGAGUAGGUAUUCCCAGAUUGCUGAAAAC